AAAGUGGUACCUAAGAAAGAUAUAAUUGAAAUAAUUCAAAGGUUCAACAUCCAAAUAAAAAAUUUGACUCAAGUACUAGGACUUGCAGUUGGAUGCUUUCGUGGCAACCUGUAACAUUCUUGUACAGCUUUAUUUAUAACCUCUGGGUGGAUGGAUGGCGUGAUAUUGUCUGAUAUCAUUGUAAAUUAUGUGUGAUGCAGUAUUGGAAGUUUAGAAAUUACAGUCAUGGUGGAAUUAUGAAGUUUAGAGUUUUAUU
rnacentral:misc_RNA from 1 species